rnacentral:rRNA from 1 species
GAUGAACGCUGGCGGCGUGCCUAAUACAUGCAAGUCGAGCGAACAGAUGAGGAGCUUGCUCCUCUGACGUUAGCGGCGGACGGGUGAGUAACACGUGGAUAACCUACCUAUAAGACUGGGAUAACUUCGGGAAACCGGAGCUAAUACCGGAUAAUAUAUUGAACCGCAUGGUUCAAUAGUGAAAGACGGUUUUGCUGUCACUGAUAGAUGUAUCCGCGCGGCAUUAGCUAGUUGUUAAGGUAACGGCUUACCAAGGCAACGCUGCGUAGCCGACCUGAGAGGGUGAUCGGCGACACUGGAAGUGAGACACGGUCCAGGCUCCUACGGGAGGCAGCAGUAGGGAAUGUUCGGAAAUGGGGGAAAGCCUGACGGAGCAGCGCCGCGUGAGUGAUGAAGGUCUUCGGAUCGUAAGACUCUGUUAUUAGGGAAAAACAAAUGUGUAAGUAACUAUGCACGUCUUGACGGUACCUAAUCAGAAAGCAACGGCUAACUACGUG